UGAGGAAUAUUGGGCAAUGCCCGCAAGGGUGACCCAGCAACGCCGCGUGGAGGAUGAAUGUCGUAAGAUUGUAAACUCCUGUUAGAGGGGAAGAAUAGUACCGGUUGGACCGGUAUAUGACUGUACCCUCAGAGAAAGCCCCGGCUAACUACGUGCCAGCAGCCGCGGUAAUACGUAGGGGGCAAGCGUUGUCCGGAUUUACUGGGUGUAAAGGGCGCGCAGGCGGGAUAAAAAGUCAGUGGUGAAAUCCCACAGCUUAACUGUAGAACUGCCUUUGAUACUUUUAUUCUUGAGUUCGGGAGAGAGAGACGGAAUUCCAGGUGUAGUGGUGAAAUACGUAGAUAUCUAGAAGAACACCAGUUGCGAAGGCGGUCUCUUGGUCCGACACUGACGCUGAGGCGCGAAAGCGUGGGGAGCAAACA
rnacentral:rRNA from 1 species